UACGAAGGGGGCUAGCGUUGCUCGGAAUCACUGGGCGUAAAGCGCACGUAGGCGGAUUGUUAAGUCAGGGGUGAAAUCCUGGAGCUCAACUCCAGAACUGCCUUUGAUACUGAGGAUCUUGAGUUCGGGAGAGGUGAGUGGAACUGCGAGUGUAGAGGUGAAAUUCGUAGAUAUUCGCAAGAACACCAGUGGCGAAGGCGGCUCACUGGCCCGAUACUGACGCUGAGGUGCGAAAGCGUGGGGAGCAAACAGG
rnacentral:rRNA from 1 species